rnacentral:rRNA from 1 species
CUACGGGUCGCAGCAGUGGGGAAUAUUGGGCAAUGGGCGCAAGCCUGACCCAGCAACGCCGCGUGAGGGAAGAAUGUCUUCGGAUUGUAAACCUCUGUCCUUGGGGACGAAAAAAAUGACGGUACCCAAGGAGGAAGCUCCGGCUAACUACGUGCCAGCAGCCGCGGUAAUACGUAGGGAGCAAGCGUUGUCCGGAAUUAUUGGGCGUAAAGGGUGCGUAGGCGGCGCUGUAAGUCAGAUGUGAAAUCCCCGGGCUUAACUCGGGAGUUGCAUUUGAAACUACAGUGCUUGAGUAAAGAAGGGGUAAGUGGAAUUCCUAGUGUAGCGGUGGAAUGCGUAGAUAUUAGGAGGAACACCAGUGGCGAAGGCGACUUACUGGUCUUUUACUGACGCUGAGGCACGAAAGCGUGGGGAGCAAACAGGAUUAGAUACCCUAGUAGUC